GACGGAGGAUGCAAGUGUUAUCCGGAAUCACUGGGCGUAAAGCGUCUGUAGGUGGUCAAAUAAGUCAACUGUUAAAUCUUGAGGCUCAACCUCAAAAUCGCAGUCGAAACUAUUAGACUAGAGUAUAGUAGGGGUAAAGGGAAUUUCCAGUGGAGCGGUGAAAUGCGUAGAUAUUGGAAAAGAACACCGAUGGCGAAGGCACUUUACUGGGCUAUUACUAACACUCAGAGACGAAAGCUAGGGUAGCAAAUGGG
rnacentral:rRNA from 1 species